GCGGAUGUGGCGGAACUGGCAGACGCGCUGGAUUUAGGAUCCAGUGGGCAACCGUGGGGGUUCGACUCCCUCCAUCCGCACCA
rnacentral:tRNA from 2 species